UGUUCGGGAACAUUCAACGCUGUCGGUGAGUUUGUGAGUCAGAGAAACCAUCGAGUGUUGAGUGUACCCUUACA
rnacentral:pre_miRNA from 1 species